rnacentral:rRNA from 1 species
AACAAACGCUGGCGGCGUGCCUAACCCAUGCAAGUCGUACGAGAAAGUUGGCUUCGGCCAAUGAGUAAAGUGGCGCACGGGUGAGUAACGCGUGGAUAAUCUGCCCUUCAGCGGGGAAUAACCCAUCGAAAGGUGGGCUAAUACCCCAUAACACUGUUUUACAACUGUCAAACAGUCAAAGAGAGCCUCUGCUUGCAAGCUUUUACUGAAGGUUGAGUCCGCGUACCAUUAGCUAGUUGGUAGGGUAAUGGCCUACCAAGGCGACGAUGGUUAGCUGGUCUGAGAGGAUGAUCAGCCACACUGGAACUGAGACACGGUCCAGACUCCUACGGGAGGCAGCAGUGAGGAAUCUUGCGCAAUGGGGGAAACCCUGACGCAGCAACGCCGCGUGAGUGAGGAAGGUCUUCGGGUCGUAAAGCUCUGUCAGGCGGGAAGAAAUGCAUGGAGGUGAACAGCCGCCAUGCUUGACGGUACCGCCAGAGGAAGCACCGGCUAACUCCGUGCCAGCAGCCGCAGUAAGAC